rnacentral:tRNA from 1 species
GCUCGAGUAGCUCAGUUGGAUUAGAGCACAUCCCUCCUAAGGAUGGGGUCGCAGGUUCGAGUCCUGCCUCGAGCG